AUUUUUUCGGAAAGUAGGCAAAAUUCUGAUUUUUAAGGUGUUCCCCACAUCUCAGUUUUGCAUCAGCGUCACCAUUUUAGGUAAGAAUGACAGAAAUCGAUUAUUGUUCGUGUACUUCUAGCUGUUUCUUGCAAACAAAUAAUAGAAAUAAGAUAAGUAAGGCCGUAUGAUACUAUAUUUAAUGAAAAAUUGGCAUUAUCUAUGCCCCUGACACGUUUUUUGCAGGUGUGGACUGUCUGUCUGAAUGGGGCAUAAUUCCAACAGUAGCCAUUCUUUCAAACUGAAAGUUGGCCAAAUUGUUGACAAUUGACUUACGUACAAUAAUUGACUGCAACAGAACGAUUUUGAAAACUUUGGUAUUUCUUAUAGGCAUGAAGGGGGCAAUUAGCCGGAUAUGCCUCCGUGGUCCACUCGAAUGUUAUCCAUAUCAAUAUAUAGUGCAAUUUUCCCGCCUAGUAAAGGCCAUUUUCAUGCCAGAUAUAAGCUUUAUUUAUGCUUGACUGUAAAAAGGAAUGUCCGCAGAUGAUUUUAAGCUACGUUAUAUGCUUCAGAAGAUGAUUGAAAGCUGCUUUGUAAAAUGAAAGUGAAAGUAGGUAUUUCCUGAUAUCUACCUACGCAAUAUUACGUUUUCAUCACGUGUCUCAGUCACGUGACCAUGGUUUCACUGCAUUAUGGUCAACCCCAUAUUUUUUGGGUAUAUUUUGAUUGCCUAAAGACAGACCUUCAAGACAAGGGUAGUCUCGCAGGAAGUGGAAGGCUAGAAAUCUUGAUAAAAAUAUGUUAUAAGUUGUUAAUUUUAUAUAGAAAAUAGCAGCGGAUGCAUUUAAUACCUUCAUACCUAGAGCAUUUUAUUUUCAAGGGAAAUAAUUGUGGUCUGACAGUAUUAUUUUGAAAAUCACAGUUGAGAUUUUUUUAUGUGUGCACCGGUACAGUUUUGUGGGGAAGCGAAAGUUGCCAUGGAAAUUUGUCUUCUUCUAAAAACAAGUGUCUGAUACAUGUAGUUGCAGUCUGUCUUUGGAAGCUGUAGAAAUAACCAGAAAGAGGCUGACAUAGUGUUUUGGUAGGGAAAAGUUUGAGUAUGUACAUGUACAGUUGUUUGACCUGUCUUACCCUGUGGCAGUCCAAGAAGAUGUUACCAUUAUGAAAAAUGCAGGGAGAACUUGAAGACAAUGGUUAGUGCAGAUGGGGCAUAAACGUUAUGACAAAAGUAACAGAUAUAAAUAAGAAGUGCUACAAGUGUGUUGUCAUGUGAAAUGGAAUUUACCCCAACUGUGCUGCAAGAUGUAUAUUCAAGUGUAAGACAGCCAUGCACCAGCUGUAACCUGAGAUGGACCCAUAUAAUAAAUAUGUUGACUUUUCUAUGUAUUAUCAUCUGUACAGAAUGUGUUCAUGACAAGACUGUAUACAUAUAUUGUUAAAUCAUUUUUUAUUUCCAUUAUUGCAUGCAUGUAAAAAGCAAGCAUUUAACAAUUACAUUCAUAGAAGUGUUAAAAUGUGAUCGAUCUAAUUUAAAGAAACACAUUUAAUUGGACUUUUUAAGUUUCAUAGUAUUUGUGGUGGAGACUGACCCAGUCAUUCAGCAACUUAUACCGUCUGUGCGUCAUUUCUUGUAUGUUAUAGUUUUCUUAAUAAUACAUUAAAUGUCAAAGUUAUGGUAAGAUGAACUCAUUCAUCACUUGUAGAUUAAUGUUAAAGCAGUUCAACAUUUUACUAUAAGUUAACUAAUAUUCUAUUUAACCAGAGUUGUCACAUAUUUUCAUAUAAAUAUUUGUUUAAUACAGUAUAAUCUAAUCUACAUAUGAUGUUCCACAAUUUUUUAGUUAUAUUUUAUGUUGAUAUUUUAUGUUGUUUUCAUGUCUCAACAUAUAAUUACUAACAUCAAAGAAACUUUUAAAAGUGUUUUACAAUUUGGUUGGUAUAAAUGGUUGUUUUGUUUAUAUAUUUUAUUUUUUCCAUCCAGGAGAAUAAAGAAAUAUACAUUCCAAAAUAUCUCAUCAUUCCAGAUAAAUACACUACAUAAUCAAGAUAAAAGAAAUAAGAACAAAAUAUGUUGGUGGAAUUUCAUUUUCAAAAAUUUGAUAUACAGUCUUUGUAGUAUUUACUUCUUUAGAUAUGUUGGACUGAAAUGGGAAUAACAGCAUACUUUAAAUUUUUGUAGUCAUAAGUUAAUAUGGGAAUUAUUAACUUAACUUAAAAAUAUUAUCUACUGUUAUGCCAUCUGAGCUUUAAUAUUUUCAACAUUGUCACUGGCAACAAGGCUCAAAAUUAUUUGUGUAUACCUUGCAUUCAUGUGUGAUAAAUGCUUUUAUGGUAUUCUUUAAUAUAAUUUAUGCUUUUCAUCUUACCAUGGAUUAAAAAAAUAUAAAUUUAUUUGUCUGAAAAUUAAGGUAAAAAUACUGACUGAUUAAAUUGCAAUAUAAGAAAGUUUAUUUGAGAUAAAGGGAGGUAAUCCCAUAAAAAUAUGUAGAAUGUAGAUGAUAAAUGUAAUGAAGGGAGGUAAUAAAAUAUUGUGAAGUUAUUAGUCUUUAUUUCUUUUAUGAGCUAAUUAAUUGUUUUACAUUUUGGUUUAUUAACUACAAGUAUGACCUAACAUGUGUACCUGUCCUGAA